rnacentral:sRNA from 1 species
ACCUUCAUUAAUUUAAUUUGAUACCGUUGCAGCAGACCGACAACGCGGGAAAUAAUUUUCAAUAAAUGAAGAAAGGAUCUCCAUGAUCCAUGCAGACUGUGGUCCAGCACUGUGACGAACUGGUAAGUGCCAAGUAGAUGGUUCACCUCGGUGUAUCCUCUAUGACUUCCCACAGCCGCCUCCCUCACUCAUCGCGGCAUCCCUCGCUCCAUGUCCCAGUAGCCAUUGCAACAGAGAGACGGGUUGACCCAUCGCGAUGUCUUCAUGAGGCUCUACCGUGGUUGAGUGACUCCCGGGGCCGUCUCCCGCGGAAACUCGCGCUCCAUGUCCAAGAUGCCAUAGUGAUAGAAAGACGGGUCGGCCCAUCGCGAGGACGCCAGUGAGCUCUCCCGCGGUCGAGGCACCCCAGAAGCUGGCAGAGAGAAGUAGCAUGAACCAGCUCGUAAUCCUGCUCACAUCACACUACCGGACCACUCUCAGCUGUUUCGCACACGCGAGAGUGUAAGACCACGAGACCAUUUCAACAACGUCAUCCCCAGAUCAUACAGGUAAGACCCUGUUUAUGAUUCCAUAACAGCUGUUCUACAGUUCAACACUACCAAUGAACAUAUAAAAACGAUUCCCGAAACUUUACAGCUAACUAACUAUUCUACUGCCUUACAUCUACCAACCUUGGAUCCAUAAGGAGGAUUUGGGAAACCCCAUUAACUGCUUAUCGUAAUUUAACCUAUUGAAUUCCAAUGCAAAGCUCAAAAAGAUGAUAGAAAGGGUAGCGCAUAUAAUCCUACUAUAAGAGUGGGGACAAGUGAGUGAAUAGCAAAACUAAGCGGAAAAGCGAAGCAUUUAAAGUCUCGAAAUAGAACUUGCCUUCUCUGCCAUAAUGGGAUUAUGUUUGCUUCUUCGGAUACAACUACAUGGCCGUUGUGUGAUUUGGCUUGGGUAUGGUUACAAAAAGCAGACGGACAGACCCAUCGCGAACGAAACACGGAUACUAAAAUCCAUACGAAUCGUGACUUACGAGAUGAAAAUGGUUAUCAAAACACCAUGUCACUCCACGCAUCUAAUAAGCCUCCGGUCACCUCCAGCUUGGCACGCGAUCCAAGUUUUCCAAUCGGGACUCAAUCCAGAGGUCAGUAAACUCUGAUCAGUUGCUGGUUGCCGCGAUUUAUUGAUGCGCCAUUCUUGUCGUGGCCUCUGGCGGGCGCUGGCUGUUGGCGUUUAAAGCACCGGCUGUGGCUCCGUCUGGUUCCAACACACCAUGUUCAGAGACAGCUGACAAAAAAAAUCAAAUAUAAACCAGCUCUGGAUGGAACGGAAAAACAGGGUCACGCACUGCUUAAAGCAGCUACAUUGAAAUCUUUCACGCUCGCACUUAUCGCCUUGAUCCGCUCUUCAGUGGGCACUGAGAUACUCCUCACCUUACCUUAACAACUACUCCUCCAUUGUGGAAUGAGAACUAGUCGAAGAUUUCAUUUCAACGUUAUAAAAAUGGUCCAGCCGGUCUUCCUGAAGUGUUGGUCUCCCUUUUGGCAAAGGAUAUUUUCGCCGGCGUCAGUGCUGGAGCGGCUGAGCGAUGUCAACGCCUUCCCUCUUGUCUGUCCGUCCGUCUAGUUGUGGGCCUAAGUUCGUAAAGCGAACACCACAUGCAGUAGGGGCUCCUUUGCGCCCCAAAAGCUAGAACUGCUACUCCUCUGGUCCUAGGUUGAGCCCACCCUAACAGCUGAGGAAAACGCCUAUUUGCUCUCGCGUCGUUUACAAAAAAAAACUAAAGGUAAGUAUAUGGUAUUUGCUUGCCUAGCUUUCUUAUUAAAAUGUAUUAUCUUUUAUUCGUAGGAAAGCAAAUUGUCUACAAGUCCUGUUCCGUAGGAGUCUCGUAUGCGUCCCGUAAAUGUAUGCAAGAAGAAAGGGGUACCUGGCGCACUGUCAGCUGACCAGUGCUUGUGAUGUCACCCAGUAGUCGGUUGUUCCAACGUUGGUCAGCGGAGGUGGAGAAGCUUAUAUUUUUGGCGUUUGGUUUUUGUUUUAUUUAGCUUAACAAUUUUAAAUUUUUUCUUUAGCAAUUUUUCUUUCA